rnacentral:rRNA from 1 species
UACGUAGGGUGCGAGCGUUGUCCGGAAUUAUUGGGCGUAAAGAGCUCGUAGGCGGUCUGUCGCGUCGAUCGUGAAAACUUGGGGCUUAACCCUGAGCUUGCGGUCGAUACGGGCAUGACUGGAGUUCGGCAGGGGAGACUGGAAUUCCUGGUGUAGCGGUGAAAUGCGCAGAUAUCAGGAGGAACACCGGUGGCGAAGGCGGGUCUCUGGGCCGAUACUGACGCUGAGUGCGCGAAAGCCAGGGGAGCAAACGGG